ensembl:rRNA 5S_rRNA 5S ribosomal RNA
GUCUAUGGCCAUACCACCCUAAACAUGCCUGAUUUCAGAAGCUUAAGCAGGGUCAGGCCUGGUUAGUACUUGGAUGGGAGAAUAUCUAUCACUCAAAGAUA